GAUCAUGGCUCAGGAUGAACGCUGGCGGCGUGCCUAACACAUGCAAGUCGAGCGAAGUGAUUGGAAUGAGACUUCGGUGGAAUUUUGAUUGACUGAGCGGCGGACGGGUGAGUAACGCGUGGAAAACCUGCCUCAUACAGGGGGAUAACAGUUAGAAAUGACUGCUAAUACCGCAUAAGCGCACAGCACCGCAUGGUGCAGUGUGAAAAACUCCGGUGGU
rnacentral:rRNA from 1 species